rnacentral:rRNA from 1 species
GUGAACGCUGGCGGUCGGCCUCACCCCUGCAGGUCGAACGGCAGCACAGUAAGAGCUUGCUCUUACGGGUGGCGAGUGGCGGACGGGUGAGGAAUAAAUCGAAAUCUACUUUUUCGUGGGGGAUAACGUAGGGAAACUUACGCUAAUACCGCAUACGACCUACGGGUGAAAGCAGGGGAUCUUCGGACCUUGCGCGAUUGAAUGAGCCGAUGUCGGAUUAGCUAGUUGGCGGGGUAAAGGCCCACCAAGGCGACGAUCCGUAGCUGGUCUGAGAGGAUGAUCAGCCACACUGGAACUGAGACACGGUCCAGACUCCUACGGGAGGCAGCAGUGGGGAAUAUUGGACAAUGGGCGCAAGCCUGAUCCAGCCAUACCGCGUGGGUGAAGAAGGCCUUCGGGUUGUAAAGCCCUUUUGUUGGGAAAGAAAGGCAGCAGGUUAAUACCCCGCUGUUCUGACGGUACCCAAAGAAUAAGCACCGGCUAACUUCGUG